ensembl:lncRNA
GAACAUUGAUGCACGUCGGUUCACUUCAGAAAGAGUUUCAUGAGGACAUUUAUUCAGAUUUAAUGGAGAAGCACUUAGUUCCCAAUGCAAACUCCACUGGGCAUCUGCAAUAAAAAAGUAAUGAAUACGAGAGAAUGCAAUAAUAAGAGAUGAAGUUUAAGGACGAAGUUGAAACCCAGUAAGAUGAAUUCACGUUUGGAAAAUUGAGUUUUAGAACUCCAGCUGAACAUUGAGGCUCGCUGGCCAAACUCUAGAAACUGGAUUUGAAUUGUUGUUAAAAUUGUUAAAACUUUUAGCUUCAAAAUGAAUUCCAGUUUUAAAGAUGAUGGAAUCUCUAACAUUGUUCUCAGGGAUCAAACCAGCGACCUCAUGGUCAGAGAACGACCUGCUCCUCCCCAUGUUCAUGCUGAAGGACCUCAGACUCGGUCGCCACGGAGACCAAUCGUUGAUAUGCAAAUGUGGCCCCUAAUUGCUGCAGCAGAUUGUGUCCUGAUAGAAUCACGGCUGUCAGGUCAUUAGGCUCAGAUUCUGCCUCCGUCUCAGGGACCCUCCUCGCUCCUCAAUCCGUCUUAACGAGCAAGAAGAGCCCAGAUGGAGCAGAUAGCUGGCGUGUGUGUGAGUGUGUGUGUGUGUGUGUGUGUGUGUGUGUGCGCAUUCACAGAUUAAUACUCCUCCCCCUGGAGGGAGGAGUUGGGCGGAGCAACGACGGAGGCUUUAAUCGGACACGUCGAGACGAAGCAGGAACAGGAAGUAGUGCCCUGAGAAGGACGUCUUCUUCUUCUGCUGUGGACAUCAGAUAAGUGCUGCGAGACAAAAAGGUGCAUUAUAUAAUAAUUAUAUAAGGGAAUUGAAAUAGUUUGAUUUCUAAACAUGGCGUACAGAGGAUGUUUUGUUACCUGUAGGUUGCUGGUGUUCGUUUGAAAUGUGGCUUGUUGGUAGAGAAGCAAUAGAGAAUACACAGAGUCCCUGAAGAUGAACAAUACCGCCUGGAUCCACGGACUCUUCUUCUGGCUCCGGUUAAACUGGAGUGUUCAGUGAGAGCAGCCGUCCUCCAGAGGUGUUUGACCCGAGCACACAACGCUGAACUGUGUGUGUGUGUGUGUGUGUGUGUGUGAGAGAGAAAGGAGGCCUGCAGAGAAACGAUGAGUCAACAAGCAGCUCUCAUAACAAAGCUGUUCCUCUCUGAUCAUCUCUGUUCUCAUGGAGGAGACUCUCCUGUCUCCAUGACUGAUGGUACCACAAACAUUCAUGCCAACGUUCUUCUCUCAAAAUCACAUGGAGACCUGGAGAACCUAGCGAUCUGGUUCAGGUCCUCUCAGCAGAAGCUGCUGCGGGUCUGAUGAGAUGAGGCUCCUCAUUCGAGCGGUUUCUCCUCAAACGUUCUAAUUAAACUGUUAAUAAAGCCGAAGGUGACUAAACACUGUUCACAUAUUUGCGUGUGAAUGGGAAAAAGGUUUUGGCGGACUCACUUGGCGCUGAAUUGAAUGAGUUGAUUACUGUCACGCACACUUCUCAAAGUGUUUGCAGAAGUAAGAAGGCAUCGAGCGGUUUCUCCUCGGCAGCUUCCCACCGGGGCUCUAAUGGCCUGAACGAGAGGUCACGUUGGGUGGAACUUUGUUUUGCAGAGUGUGAGACUGAACGGCCGCCGCUGCUCCGCCCGGCGCUCUCCGGAACAUUAAAGCCCCGCGGCGGUCCAUUAGUGCUCCUCCGUCAUGUUUAAGAGCGAGAGGUAGGAGUUGCACAUUAGCUGAAAGCUAACUCAAAUAAUGUACAUGUGCAGGAUUUAACCUUUGGCCCCGCGUUGGCGCGCCCACGCGGGGCCCAGCGGAGCCGCCGGCCGCUGACGCGCUGGGAGGGAGCGCGAGUAUCAAAACAAAUGAGUCAGCGAGCGGCCGGGGAGCCGGCGCCGUGAGCAGCUUUCUAAUGACGGCUAAUAUUAGCAUAACCUAAUAUGCUUGUUGAUCAAGGGUAAACUUUGGGGGGAGGACAUGUUAGGUGCAGAAUAAAUAAAAGCAGCUGCUUGGAGGGAGGGGGGGGCGAAGACGCCGAGGCCGUCCUUAACGUGGGCUGAGCUCGCCGCGUGGAUCGCAGGCAAUCUGUCGCUCCUCCACCGCGGUGCGCUCGCAGGCUGCCGCCGCAUGCAGGCUGGGGGGGCAGUUACAACCGUGGCAUUAAUAUAUUCAUUUGGGGGCCCCCUCCCCCCAAAUGAAUCAUUUCUUUUCUUUGUUUCUUCUUUCCCUCCGGUGCCCCCCCCCCCUCUUCCCCCGGGAGUUGAUUGCACGCGACCCGUCAGUGCUUUCUGCCCGCUCGCCCUUUAAAUAUUAUAUGGAGACUUUAGUAACAAUUUGUUGUUCUUUUUCUCCAUCACCUAUUCAUGGCGGCUAAGUGAGGGGCGCCGUGGGAGGGACGUGGGGGAGGGACCCCCGCCGGGGACCUGUUUGGGAAGUAAAAGCAAACACUGCGAAAAUGAAGCGUGUGUUUUAAUCUCAACUUGUGGAGGAACGUUCCCCCGUGCAGCUCGGUUCAAACCGUCGUAACUUCAUCUAAACGAUGACCACGUGUGCGUUUGAACAUAAAAAAGAACACAAUCCAUCACUAUGAACUAUUAUAUUGCAUAUUGUUGUCAUGGAUACUGUGAGGGGACAUUUUAAUUCAGAGGGUCGAUAUUUUGUGGAUCUGAAUCAUUACUAUUCUUUAACUUCAACAAAAGCUCUUUCCUCUUACCUUUCAAAAUAAAAGCUUUGGAUAUGUUUUCACAUCACCAACGUUAACCCUGUCAGAGAAGGUGGAAGUUUUAAUUCCCCUUAAUGCAGGAGCAUAGAAUCCUUUAAUUACACUUCAUGGAGUAAGCAAAAUGAAAAUAGAUACAAAUAUAUGAAAUGCUUCCUGCAAAACACAAGUUACUGUAAAAAGGUGAAGAGCAGAAUUUAGGAAGCCUUUUUCUCUUGUUUUAUUAAAAUAAGCAUUAUGACUCACUGAGUAAUAAAGGUGAUAUAUGGCCAACAUGCAUCUCCUUUUGCAGUGCUUAUGGUAUAAAUACAUAAACCAGAAGCGUCAUUACUCUCUCUCAGUGUAUGUAGACACACACACACACACACAGUGCAGUCUAAUAAGUCAAACUGCAGGCCAAGCAGGCAGCGCAUGAAUACCCAACGCAGCCUAAUUGAUUACCUAAUUUAUGCAAUAACCAGUACUUCUUAAUUAUAGUUAUUUAUCGUCCAAAUGUUUAUGCUGCUCGGCUGAUUCAUGGGUGGCGUGAAGGGUCAGACUCAGCAGACCCUUCUCGUAGCUCUUCAUCAUCGCUGCUGCUGCAGCAGAGAGGGAGCGUCAGGGAGGAGCAACGUGGAUGUGAGAAAAUCACAGGUUGUUUGUGCUUGAAGGAACCACAGGCAGACCUUCUUCAGAUGGUUAGAGGUUCCUCAGGUUCUCUGCAGCUCUUUGACGGCUCCUUGUCCGACUGACACCAAGCUGAUGGUUAUCAUGCAAAGUCCUCCAGUAUUAAAACUCACUUUUCCAACAGGUGCUGCUGGAACCAAUCAGCUCCCCGACACUCCGCAUGCUGACAGGGUGAGAUUUGCGCGGCGUUAACUACCCAUAACACCCGGCUAACGCUGCGUGGAUGUGUUGAUGAUGGCGCACAGUCUGAGAAAUUAUUUUUGGAUUCAAAAUCCUUUGACAAUUCUGGCAACCUUAAGAGCAAACAUGUAGUUUAACUUUAUUGUUCAGUAAAAUGAGAACAAGUGAAACUGUUAUUAAAAGUAUUUACCAUUUUCUUUUUUCUACAUGAAAAUACUGGAUCAACCGUAGAUGUGAAACCGUUGGCGUGUGAGUUGCCUGCCGAGGGACGGGUGCCACAGCGUGCUGCCAAACGCUGUAAAUGCACAACUCUUGUAGCGGCAUUAAACAUGCAGCGACGCGGCGCGUGACAGCGAGGCGCCGGGUGAGCUGGAGGCCGCCUACACACACGACAGGAAGUUACCCAGAUCCCGCCGCGGCGGCAGGAUGAUGACACGCAUUUCUCACAGGCGUCGUGUUACCCGCAGACUCCGCCGACCUCUGACCUGCUGCUGAGAGAAACCGCUCCGGAGUUCAACCGCGGCUGCCACUUUCAAUCCUCCCCGGUCCUCCCAGAAUGCCGUUCUGCACGUUGAUGCAGCUGCCGGAGCACCGGCGGCUGAUGAGCGGUGACGGGACGCGUGGCCAAGACCUCAAGCAGGACGGACGGAGCGAGGGGGGCGGCGGCUGAGUCGACCCGGGGCGGCCCGCCGAGGCUCUGGGGGGGCGUGUCAAAGUUGAACAAGAUCAAUCAAUCUAUCAAUCAAUGUUCUAUUGUUUCUCCUCCUUUCUGAGGAAAUCAAUCAGUCAGCACAUGGAUCUGGUGAACCAAUGAUUGAUUAGUGAAGUUGGAGACAACAGCUUUUCCCUUUUACUCAUUUCUAAGCUAGCCGGUAGCUAACUGUCGUUAGCUGCGUCCAUGUUUUCAUGGCCUUAAAUUCAGAGUUCCAUUCCGAUCUGCUCUGACUGUCGUAUUUAUGGAUCAUAAAUCAAUGCAGUGGGUGGAUUUAUGCUCAAACCUGGUUGCAAAAGACAGUAACUGAGGAUGUUUAUGUAAAUAACUACUCAUGAAUGCAUAAGCAGAGAAGAUCAUCACUUCAAGCGACACCUUUCCCAUCACACAGUCACUGGUCCACUUGGUGAUGAAUACCGAUCAGCUGAGACACAAGAGCUAAAGCUGGCGAGGACUCUAAUUAGUUUCGUUAGGACAUCAAAGUAAUCCAGUUUAAGCAACGAGGUGGCUCAUGUAUCAAGUCAGUGAACCACCUUCCACAUUUCACUGCACUUCACACCCUGAGCUGAUCUCUGGACUUUGUGCGCUGGAGUUGUUUGGUUAUUGGGUCUUUUGGCGGCUUUGUGCCCGCUCAGCAGUCGUAUGUUUGUGCUCAGAUCGGCUCCCUGGCUCGUGAUUAGCGAAGUCACAGAUCUGCUGAGCGUGCUCUUUCUCUAAUGGGCUGGCAGUGGCUUCAGACCCGGACGACCACCUCGUUCACAGAGGUGACGAAUCUCUCGCUUCUCAUCGCCGGCCGGCGAAUGCCGACGUCUGCGCACGCUUUCUUCUGCCAGUUUGACAGCGAAUCGCUGAGGCGCUUUCAGACCAUCGAAGGGAAACUGGAGGCGAGUCAAAAAGGAGGAGAAGCGGAAGCAGGAUGCUGUUGGCGAGCGCCGCAGGCCUUCAUUUCCCCGUAUCAGCGGCAGGUAGUUGGAGAUCCCGAUGAAAAAGGGACUUCUUUUGGGUGAUGUGACACGUUUGAUGAAUGAAGAGACAAAGCUUCUCUCUGCUCCAUAAAACAAAAAGCGCUGGAGGUGUGAGCCAGCGUCAGCUCGCCGUCUGUUCCCCUCCGAGGGCUCAGCGACACCAAUUAACUCCCAAACAGCGGUAAUCAGGGGACCUGUAAGAUAGCACACAAAUUCAAUUAGAGCGUCCCCGACCAUAUGCCAAUACGCGUCGUCUUCAAAGUCUCUUUUCCGUGAGCUGGUGACACAAAACGCAGAGGAAGCAAUCAAUAAGAGGCGCGCUACCAAAGAGAGGAAUCCUCUCCGCUUGCUUCAUCUCAAAGCUGCACGGUUCAGCUUUUUAAUUCAUUACACAAUAUUUCUACCCGCCUUCGGAUUGAUUGACAGGUUCUUAAACAUCGGGGGACGUCAGAUUGAAUCCCGCGUUGGGCCCUGAGGUGUCUCCGUGCCGCCCCGCCGGCGCCAGCAGGGACAUAAAUCGAUGAGCGAAGUAAGACGGCGCUGCCAGAGGAGUCCUCCUGCGCCUAAUUGCCUCAGUUUGUCAUUGUGAAAAACACACACGGUGACGGGGGGGGGGGCAAAGGCCAGCGCAGGAACCUGACACACCGUGACCCCCGAGAGCAGGACGGUGCCACUCAGGCUGCCGGGCCACCGCCUUCGGCCAAUGGGAUCGGCUGAAAGGGAACGACCUCGUGUCUCUGGUUGUUCUUAUUAGCCGGCGUCUUCGGGAGGAGGAAGAGUAACGACGUCCGGUCCUCCAGUCAGCGACGUUCUGUCGAUGUGGCCCCCAGACGGGUGAACUUAAUGACAGAAAAAGUGUUUCACAACGAAUGAAAAAUGUGUCUUACUUUGGGGGAUAAUAAGGAGUAGUAGUCUGGGUCGGUCACACAAACACAGGACUGUCACUUAGCAGAGCGCUGUGCUCGUUCUGGAUGUUGUGUAAGCGGAGCUUGUUUUACACAAGAAAUGCUUUGUUUCUAUGAUGUAAUAACAUUCAUUUGAUGACAUACGUUUGAUGUAUUUUUCACAUGAACCAUAACGCAGAAAAUAAAUAUUACAUUUUUUUUUUCAAUUCAUUUUUUUUGUAUAGCCCAAAAUCGCAAAUGACAAAUCUACACGUCUGUACGACAUCCUCUGUCCCUCACAUGACACAGGAAAAACCCAAACAAUGAAAAACCCUUCCAGGGGGGAAAAAGGAACCUCAGUGAGAACGUCAGAGGAGGAUCCGUCUCCUGAUGGACAGACUGCAAUGAUGUCAUGUGUACAGAAUGAACAAUGUAGAAGAUGAACCACCAUCACAUAGAACCAACAUCAGAUAGAACCACCAUCAGAUAGAACCACCAUCACAUAGAACCACCAUCAGACAGAACCACCAUCACAUACAACCACCACCAGAUAGAACCACCAUCAGAUAGAACCACCAUCAGACAGAACCACCAUCACAUACAACCACCAUCAAAUACAACCACCAUCAGGCAGGACCACCAUCACAUAGAACCACCAUCACAUAGAACCACCAUCAAAUAGAACCACCAUCAGGCACGACCACCAUCACAUAGAACUACCAACACAUAGAACCACCAUCAAAUAGAACCACCAUCAGAUAGAACCACCAUCAGAUAGAACCACCAUCAAAUAGAACCACCAUCACAUAGAAGCACCAUCAGAUAGAACCGCAAUCCAAUAGAACCACUAUCAGAUAUAACCACCAUCACAUAGAACCACCAUCACACAGAACCACCAACACAUAGAACCACCAUCAAAUAGAACCACCAUCAGAUAGAACCACCAUCAGAUAGAACCACCAUCAAAUAGAACCACCAUCACAUAGAACCACCAUCAGAUAGAAGCACCUUCAGAUAGAACCGCAAUCCAAUAGAACCACUAUCAGAUAGAACCACCAUCACAUAGAACCACCAUCAGCAGGUGUCAGGACCAGGGUCCAGAAGGAAAUAUGAUCUACAGAGACCUGCUAGGGGAGAAAGCACAAAAUAACUAUAUAAAUACAUUUAUUAAACCUAUUUUGGUGACCAAACGCUUUGCACCCUGAUGUACGCUGGGGAUAUUUGUAAUAUCAGCCGGCUUGGAAGCCAACUAGUUAAAACUGUACUUGUGUUUGUGGAAGCGCACAACCAGAAGACUUGGGGAGAGUCUCUGUGUUAUAAACUGUUAUCUCGUCCAUCUGCUCAUCGUGGAAACGCCAAGGAACCCUCCAGUGGGUGGUGUGUCAUGGUGGGAGGACGGAGAUCUGAUGAAGAAGGAAGUAACAUGUUAAACUACAGGCAUACUGUCUAUGUAGUACCAACGCAUUCUCUUUGUAUAUUAAUUGAAUGCAUUGGUAAACCUCACUUGUUAUUUCUUUCGUUUUUAUUUAGUUUUAGAUUUUACGUGCAGCUACUAGAAGAUGUGCAGGACCUUGAGACUAUUGGAAGUACUCCAUCAGACAAAGCGCUCUAUAAUGAAGACCGGUCCUGCCAUUAUGUCCCAGAGUUCCUAGCGGUCUUCGUCUGGGGUUCCUCGGUGACUUUGUGAGGCUAAUGGCCCUGGUGAGGAUGGACUUGCUAAUUUGCUAAUGGCUUCUUCUUCUUCCUGCGGGCCAUGAGAUCAUCAGGGUGAUGUACACCCCUCUGAUCACUAUCGCUCUGCUAAUGCCCUCGGAAACGAGGGACACUCUUUCAAUCCCAUGACGGGUCCCCGAGCUCAGCGUUCAAUACCGCGUCGCUCAGCGUCCCGCUCUGCGCUCUUUGCAGAUGGAGGUGGGGGCUCACAUCCUUCUGGGGGCGACGUGAGUCAUCCUGAGUCAUGUGUUCUCUGGCCAGAGGAGCUGUGGAAGUCAUUGCAGAGCUUCUGCUUCUCUUAUGACUCAUAUGAGCAGCUUAUUGAUGUCUAUUAAGAAAAAGAAAGAAGCCUCCAUUUACCGGAGCAACUGGAGGUUCAAUGUCUCCAUCGAGGAGGCUACAACACGCCGAGAGGAGGAGGAGCAUCCAACCGACGACUUGUGAUUACAAAAAGAACAGCCUCUCUUCUUCCUGAGCCCGAUGUUCCCCCUUCAGCAAGGACUAUCUCAACAAUUUCCUUUGUAGAAAACAUCCGCAUCAAAAAGAAGUGUUGAAUAAAUCAGCAAAGAAAACUGAAAAAUAAGAAUUCAAACGAAUAUCUUCACAUCAGAAAACUGGAUGGAAUCUAAACAUCUGGAUAGAAGGAAGAAUGCAGCAUUACUUCAUAGGUUGUUUCUCCUGUGACUGACUGUUUCUCCUCUGACUGGCUGUUUCUCCUCUCACAGACUGUUUCUCCUCUGACUGGCUGUUUCUCCUCUGACAGACUGUUUCUCCUCUGACUGGCUGUCUCCUCUGACAGACUGUUUCUCCUCUGACUGGCUGUCUCCUCUGACAGACUGUUUCUCCUCUCACAGACUGUUUCUCCUCUGACGGGCUGUUUCUCCUCUGACUGACUGUUCCUCUUCUCACAGACUGUUCCUCUUCUCACAGACUGUUUCUCCUCUCACUGGCUGUUUCUCCUCUGACUGACUAUUUCUCCUCUCGCAGACUGUUUCUCCUCAGACUAACUUUUUCUCCUCUGACUGGCUGUUUCUCCUCUCACAGACUGUUUCUCCUCUGACUGACUGUUUCUCCUCUGACAGACUGUUUCUCCUCUGACUGACUGUUCCUCUUCUCACAGACUGUUUCUCCUCUCACUGGCUGUUUUUCCUCUGACUGGCUGUUUCUCCCGUCCUGUUGUUAGCUCCUUUCCGUACCCGCGCGUCACUAAUGGCGUUGCAGAAUGCCUAAUUGACUCUAAAUCAGCGUGACUUUCUCGAGGAGGGGGCGGGACUGAUCAGGCUGCCAUCAAUGGGGUGAGAGGUCAACGACGGGGGGGGUGUGUCCAUAAAAGAGCAGCGACGUGAUGCGACGCCGGCGCCCUUUUCUGCUGAGGCCGAUGCUGCGUCAUGAACGAACUGCAACUCACGGCGGCGAACUCAUGUUUACAAUGUUUACUGAGGGAAAGAAUCGAGAGAGAAGAAGAGUCGUCUUCUCAUAGACGUCUAUGGGAGCAGAGGAGUCGCCCCCUGCUGGUCACUACAGAGAAGUAGAGUCAUUUCCUCAUAGACGUCUAUGGGAGCAGAGGAGUCGCCCCCUGCUGGUCACUACAGAGAAGUAGAGUCAUUUCCUCAUAGACGUCUAUGGG